rnacentral:rRNA from 1 species
AGGAUAAACGCUGGCGGCGUGCCUAAUACAUGCAAGUCGAACGGACCCUUCGGGGUUAGUGGCGGACGGGUGAGUAACACGUGGGAACGUGCCCUUUGGUUCGGAACAACUCAGGGAAACUUGAGCUAAUACCGAAUGUGCCCCCAUCCUUAAACAAGAUGGGUGGGAAAGAUUUAUCGCCAUUGGAGCGGCCCGCGUCUGAUUAGCUAGUUGGUGAGGUAAAGGCUCACCAAGGCGACGAUCAGUAGCUGGUCUGAGAGGAUGAUCAGCCACACUGGGACUGAGACACGGCCCAGACUCCUACGGGAGGCAGCAGUAGGGAAUCUUGCGCAAUGGGCGAAAGCCUGACGCAGCCAUGCCGCGUGAAUGAUGAAGGUCUUAGGAUUGUAAAAUUCUUUCAGCGGGACGAUAAUGACGGUACCCGCAGAAGAAGCCCCGGCUAACUUCGUGCCAGCAGCCGC